rnacentral:rRNA from 1 species
UAAUACGGAGGGUGCAAGCGUUACUCGGAAUCACUGGGCGUAAAGGACGCGUAGGCUGGUUGUCAAGUCUGAUGUGAAAUCCUACAGCUCAACUGUAGAACUGCAUUGGAAACUGGCAACCUAAAGUAUGGGAGGGGGAGAUGGAAUUAGUGGUGUAGGGGUAAAAUCCGUAGAUAUCACUAGGAAUACCUAAAGCGAAGGCGAUCUCCUGGAACAUUACUGACGCUAAGGCGUGAAAGCGUGGGGAGCAAACGGGAUUAGAUACCCCGGUAGUCCACGCCCUAAACGAUGAACACUAGUCGUCGGGAUGCUUGUCAUCUCGGUGAUGCACUUAACAGAUUAAGUGUUCCGCCUGGGGAGUACGGUCGCAAGAUUA